rnacentral:rRNA from 1 species
GAACAUACCGAAAGGUAUGCUAAUACGGGAUAACAUAAGAAACUCGCAUGUUUUUCUUAUCAAAGCUCCGGCGGUACAGGAUGGACCCGCGUCUGAUUAGCUAGUUGGUGAGGUAACGGCUCACCAAGGCAACGAUCAGUAGCCGACCUGAGAGGGUGAUCGGCCACAUUGGAACUGAGACACGGGUCCCAAACUCCUACGGGGAGGGCAGCAGUGGGGGAAUAUUGCACAAUGGGGCGAAAAGCCUGAUGCAGCAACGCCGCGUGAGCGAUGAAAGGCCUUUCGGGUCGUAAAAGCUCUGUCCUCAAGGAAGAUAAUGACGGUACUUGAGGAGGAAGCCCCGGCUAACUACGUGCCAGCAGCCGCGGUAAUACGUAGGGGGCUAGCGUUAUCCGGAUUUACUGGGCGUAAAGGGUGCGUAGGCGGUCUUUUAAGUCAGGAGUGAAAGGCUACGGCUCAACCGUAGUAAGCUCUUGAAACUGGAGGACUUGAGUGCAGGAGAGGAGAGUGGAAUUUCCUAGUGUAGCGGUGAAAUGCGUAGAUAUUAGGAGGAACACCAGUAGCGAAGGCGGCUCUCUGGACUGUAACUGACGCUGAGGCACGAAAGCGUGGGGAGCGAACAGGAUUAGAUACCCUGGUAGUCCGCGCCGUAAACGAUGAGU